CUCCAAUUAAAAUCAGCUGAACAGAUUUACACGUGAUUGACACAAUCAAGGCAGCCAACAAGACAAGCAAAUAAAAAACAGGCUAUUUAGAAAGUAAGCACUCAAAAUGAUCCUAAGAAUGGUGCUAGAAUAGAUUUUAAAAACAACAAAAGAAAAACUUAAGUUGAACCAACAUAACAGAUUGAAUGUCUACACUGCUGAUAAUCAAAUAGAUUGAGAAUUUGACAAUCAUAAUGUGAACUGCACUUUUUCAAAUUGCUUCUUUCUUUCCUUUGUUGUUUUAGAAACCAGCGAUCAUGAUUAGUCAAGACUGUUUUAAUAUUGAAAGCUUUUGCUACAGUUCACAACAGCAUAAUGAACUACUACUUUUUCAACUGUUCAGCAGGUUAUUCAUGUGAAAAGCACAAUGGUUCAACUCAGAAAACACAAUCAAACAAAGGCUAGACUCCAAAGCACCAAGACACUC
rnacentral:lncRNA from 1 species